rnacentral:miRNA from 1 species
GUGUGUGUGUGUGUGUGUGUGUGUGUGUGUGUGUGUGUAUAUAUAAAACACAUUUAUAGUAUAUACACACACACACACACACACACACACACAA